rnacentral:rRNA from 1 species
AGGACGAACGCUAGCGGCGUGUUUGAAACAUGCAAGUCGAACGGGAAGAGCAAUCUUUUAGUGGCGAACGGGUGCGUAACACGUAAAGAACCUAUCCAACAGUGGGGGAUAGCCUCUGGAAACGGGGGGUAAUACCGCAUACGGUAUAGAGCAGGCAUCUGCUUUAUAGGAAAGGGAUACGAAAGUAUUUCACUGAUGGAGGGCUUUGCGGCCUAUCAGGUAGUUGGUGGGGUAACGGCCUACCAAGCCAAAGACGGGUAGCUGGUCUGAGAGGACGAUCAGCCACACUGGGACUGAGAUACGGCCCAGACUCCUACGGGGGGCAGCAGUUUAGAAUAUUGUGCAAUGGGCGAAAGCCUGACACAGCGACGCCGCGUGGGUGAUGAAGGCCUUAGGGUCGUAAAGCCCUGUUGGUAGGGAAGAGCAAGGACGGUACCUACCGAGGAAGCCCCGGCUAACUACGUGCCAGCAGCCGC